rnacentral:sRNA from 1 species
ACGUGUCAACUCUGCUUAAUUAAGCACUUUGAUGAUUUAAGAAAUCUUGGAAAUCCUUUUGUACUAUUGCUCAUUCAUACUUGUUCAUCAAAGCCUGGAGUCCUUAAGGACAGAAUUUACCUCUAAACAGAAAGAUGGAAACUAAAGUACAUUUAUUCUGCCAGGCAGAGAAAAAUAUUGACUUAUUAGAUGAUGGCUCUAAUUCUUUUGCAACUGACUUGUCAUCAGGAACUAUUAACCACAAGAAAUACAUCAAGUUUUCUAAAACAAUAGAGAAGAAAAUUUCACUGGAAAUUAGGAGUUUGAGCCCAGAAUAUAAAAAAAUAUUUGAAACAUCAAUAAUCCUUUGUGGAGAAGAAAAGUCCUCUGAUUUUUCAGGAGAAAAAAAAGUUGGGAGAAAGAGUUUACAAGUACAACAGCACAGUAAAAGAACUGAGAUUAUCCCUCCUUUUCUGAAGCUGUCAAAGGAGAAGGUGACAAGGAAAGAAAACUCUUUAUGCAAGUUGCCGAAUCAGUACAGCGUUCACAAGACUUCAUCACCUCUUUGUACAUCUUCUGCAAUUACUCGGGAAAAAGAAAUGCUGUCUAACCUCUACAUGACAUUAUAUGAUGAAGUAACCCAUGGAUAUUUACACUCAAAAGAAUUAAGUGCAUUCCAGGAUGCCUUGAAGAUUUUCUGUAGGAUAAAAGGUGGUCGAGUUUCAACUGAUGACGUGUUUGCUGUUUUGGAUAGCAUGGGUAUCCCUAUAAACCGUGAAAUUUUAGAAGAAGUGACAAAACAUACCUAUAUUGACAGUAACCACAUGGUGGAUAUUGGGGAUAUUAUAUUUACUUUGAAUGAGCUACAGGAACAGUAUGAGGAUGUUUCAAUUACAGAAAGAUCACCUUUGAAUGAAAUUACUUCAGACAGAAAGUUAUCAAGUAUAGCAGGAUGCUAUCUAAAAUAUAAGAAGAAAAAUAGUUUGUCUUCCAAACUCCCUGAACCUUCAAUAUCCAAAAAGUUAAAUAAAAAAAGCAACCAAUAUUAUAGCAAAAUUAUGGAGAAUGAUGACCUUGAAUCUAAAAGACCAAAAAAUACUUGGCAAAUAAGAAAAUUUCUGGGUGGGGUUGGCAGCAGUAAUGUAGGAGUCCAAGAACCAUAUUCAAAGAAUGGCAUAAACUUUAAAAAACAUUCAGAGAAGGGUGAAAUUCAUGACUCAAAGUCUAAACCACAAAGCUUGAAGAGUAGUACAAGCCUCAGUAAGUCUCUGGAUAAAAGUGAUAUUUGUAGUAUCCCAAAACUUCAGAAGCCAGCUGUAAGAAAGCAUUCCAGUCUCCAAAAACAGGUUUCGUCUACGGAAAAAACUGCAAUUAGUACUCUGGAAAACUUCUGUGAAGCUAUCAGUAAACUUCAAGAAAAUUACAUUGCAGCAGAAGAACUUCAGUCUAUUUUGCCUUCAACAGGAAUUAAUUUAUUAGAUGAAGAAUUCCAGAAGAUUGUGACAGACACUAGUAGAAAUGAGAAUGGAAUGGUGGAGUUAGAUGACUUUAUAAGUGCUCUCUCCAAGGAGCGAAGUUUUCCUGAAUGCAAUGCGUUGCCUGGUGUCAUUAAAGCCAUUGAUAAAAUUAAAGAUAAAAAUGUGGAUUAUGAGGAUCUAAAUACUUGUCUUCAAAAUUUUUGUAUUUACCUUUCUAAGCCAGAAUUUAAGAAGAUCACAGAACUGACUGAAGCUGGUGAAACAAAAAAAGUGAAUUUUAAAGAAUUCAUUGAUACUAUGAUGAGCAACACGGAAUGCUUCUCUGAAAAAUUAU